UACAGAGGUGGCAAGCGUUGUUCGGAAUUACUGGGCGUAAAGGGCGUGUAGGCGGCUUCUUAAGUCAGACGUGAAAUCCCCCGGCUUAACCUGGGAACUGCGUCUGAUACUGGGAAGCUAGAGUUCGGGAGAGGGAUGUAGAAUUCCAGGUGUAGCGGUGAAAUGCGUAGAUAUCUGGAGGAAUACCGGUGGCGAAGGCGGCAUCCUGGACCGGUAUUGACGCUGAUGCGCGAAAGCCAGGGGAGCAAACGGG
rnacentral:rRNA from 1 species